UUGCAAUUAAUAUCAGCAAACUUUGGAAAAUUUAACGAUUCAUCAAUUUAAAUUAUGUAUUGUAAAUUAAGCGUCACGUUCCAUCCUUAUAUUAUGAAGGUGUUACAUUUAGACAUAAUUAUGAAACGCAUGUGUAGCUCGUAGCGUUUAAAUUACUACCUUUUCAAUUCUGAUGCACAAGCCCACAUAAUCACAGAAGAAGAAAAUGGCGUUUUGACAGAGCAAGCAAAGCUCGCAUGCAAAAGAACGAUUUUCAAUAAACCGCGCUGCGUGAUUUCAGGUGAAUUAGUGUGAAAGUGUUUUGUGAAGAUACGGCUGAGGUUCAAAUAGUCCCGGUAUUGAAAAAAGAACAGCAGUGGUGACGUACGGGAUUCUGACGCCUUUACCAUGGUCUGCGUGCGACCCUUGCUUGCUUCACCUUCUCGGCGGGGGGCGUUCCUAGAGCACGUGGGAAGGGCAACUAGUAAACAUCCGCAUCCGCAAGCCCCAAGUAAGGAAGCCAAGUGUUUUGCUAUCUUGGCGGAAACGGAAACGGCAUAAACGAUGACGGCUACUUACUAUGCGAACGAUGGAGGUAUUACACCAUUACUGAAUCCUUUGACGUGACAAAUGAUGAGUGAUGAAUGUUCCGAAGUUACAAGCAACACGUCAUCGCGCAGUUCCAGACGAACUGCGCGUUGACCUGGAGUAGUUCAUACUUUACCAAGGAUACAGAUUUAGAACAGGUUAAGCAAAGACGACGCCAACCCAAACGACCAUAACCAAUUGACUGACCAGCGCACUCGACUAGCAUGCACGCGACGCGAUGAAAUAUGAUGUGACUCUUGCGUCUCGUCUGCUUGAUUUUUCUUCGAACUCGAUACCAAGAGGUUUCAAUCUUUAAAAUUUUGUAAGAAGUUUGUAAGCUCGGGUUUAACUUCUUGUAAUAAAGGUGUUAAAAAUUCUUGAAAUACGCCAACCAUG